UACGUAGGUGGCAAGCGUUGUCCGGAAUCAUUGGGCGUAAAGCGCGUGUAGGCGGCCAGGUAAGUCCGUUCUGAAAGCCCGGGGUUCAACCCCGGGAGGCGGAUGGAUACUGCUUGGCUCGAGUCCGGAAGAGGCGAGUGGAAUUCCCGGUGUAGCGGUGAAAUGCGCAGAUAUCGGGAGGAACACCAAUGGCGAAGGCAGCUCGCUGGGACGGUACUGACGCUGAGACGCGAAAGCGUGGGGAGCAAACAGG
rnacentral:rRNA from 1 species